UAGUAGUAGCGGUAGUAGUAGUAGUAGUGGUAGUAGUAGUAGUAGUAGUAGUAGCAGUAGUAGUAGUAAUAGUUGUAGCAGUAGUAGUAGUAGUAGUAGUAACAGUAGUAGUAGUAGUAGUAGUAGUAGUGGUAGUUGUAGCAGUAGUAGUAGUAGUAGUAGUAGUAGUAGCAGUAGCAGCAGUGGUAGUAGUGGUAGUAGUAGUAGUAACAGUAGUAGUAACAGUAGUAGUAGUUGUAGCAGUAGUAGUAGUAGUAGUAGUGGUAGUUGUAGCAGUAGCAGUAGUAGUAGUAGCAGUAGUAGUAGUAGUAGUAGUAGUAGUAGCAGUAGCAGCAGUGGUAGUAGUGGUAGUAGUAGUAGUAGUAGUAGUAGUAGUAGUAGUAGUAGCAGUAGUAGUAGUAGUAGUAGUAGUAGUGGUAGUAGUAGUAGUAGUAGCAGUAGUAGCAGUAGUAGCAGUAGUAGUAGUAGUAGUAGGAUUACCGGGUCCAGUUUAUUAGGUACACCCAUCUAGUAUCAGGCCAGUUUAUUAGGUACACCCAUCUAGUAUCAGGCCAGUUUAUUAGGUACACCCAUCUAGUAUCAGGCCAGUUUAUUAGGUACACCCAUCUAGUAUCAGGCCAGUUUAUUAGGUACACCCAUCUAGUAUCAGGCCAGUUUAUUAGGUACACCCAUCUAGUAUCAGGCCAGUUUAUUAGGUACACCCAUCUAGUAUCAGGCCAGUUUAUUAGGUACACGUGAAGGAGGAGGACGGCGAUUUAGGAGAUACCGAAUCAUACCACGCUCAAAGUCGUUUAGGUCACUCGUUUUACCCCAUUCUAACGUUCAAUAGAACAGUAACUGAAUGCCUUGAUGCCUGUCUGCCUGCUUUAUAUAGCAAGGCAGGGCCACGUAACUCACUGUCUGUAUGACAGCCAUCCAUUUUGGUGAACGUGGUUGUGUACCUAAUAAAGUGGCCGUGGUGAGUGUAGUUUAGAAUAACACAGCCAUAUCGAGUAACAACAUGUUAUCUACAACUGGCUUGAUGUGAGAGCAGGAUGAAAUCAUUAUUCAAACCCGUCAUUGGCUCGUCAUUGGCUACCAAGCCCUCAUUAGUGAGAUAGACAACCAGACAUUGGUAUUGUCUCUAAAUGCAUGUGCAGUAUACAUCACUGAGAGACUCGAAAGGCAUGACUGGAUACCAUCACUGGUGGAUCGCCAUGUCUUUCCAGUCUUUACUUAGCUAUGGAUUCAACUAUUUCCUACAUAAUGAAGUCAGUCAACCAAAUAUUUAUUUACAGCAGGUAGAAUACAAUGUAGAGGCAAACGCUAGAUUUAUUUGAAUAUAGAUUUGUACAGUGUUGUUGUUGUUGUUGUUGUAUAUAAUGCACUAUAUGUCAAUGCUAUUCUAAUGCUGUCUCUCUUGGAGAAGGGACCCCUGAUCAAAUGAAAUGGAAUUCAGAAUCACUGUUUCAAAAGGCUUCUUCGUGAACAAUCUAGAACAUUCUAUGGAAUUAUAGAAUCACAGAACAACCGAAGGGACGGAAUCAGCUGACGUGGACUAACCUGAGCUGAACUGUCUCCAACUAGCAAACAUAGAUUUACUUUUAUAAAAAUGGGGUUAUAUAUAAGAGAACAGAGAGAGUUUUCAAUGAGUGAAUUUUUUGAUGUUGUUGUUGAUAAUAAUCAUUGGUUGCUAAUAAAAAAUGUACAUCCUGAUACUAUUG
rnacentral:lncRNA from 1 species